rnacentral:tRNA from 1 species
GACCGCGUAGCUCAGUUGGCAGGGCAUUGGGAGAGUAUUCCAAAUGUCGUAGGCUCAAUUCCUACCGUGGACA